rnacentral:tRNA from 1 species
GGUGUUGUGGUGCCGGAGGAUCGCACGAAUCACUCUGCUAAGGUGGAGUCCCCUCACGGGGACCAGGGGUUCAAAUCCCCUCGUCUCCGC